AUCCAGCUGAAAAGUUCCAAAUAGGAUGGAACGAGUGUCCUGGAU
rfam:Schistosoma curassoni strain Dakar, Senegal genome assembly, scaffold: SCTD_scaffold0008074